GUAGGGAAUAUUGCGCAAUGGACGAAAGUCUGACGCAGCGACGCCGCGUGAGUGAUGAAGGCCCUAGGGUCGUAAAGCUCUGUUGAAUGGGAAGAAAAAAAUGACGGUACCAUUCGAGGAAGGACCGGCUAACUUCGUGCCAGCAGCCGCGGUAAUACGAGGGGUCCUAGCGUUGUUCGGAAUCAUUGGGCGUAAAGGGUGUGUAGGUGGCCAUGUAAGUCAGGUGUGAAAGCCCCGGGCUCAACCCGGGAAGUGCACUUGAUACUGCGUGGCUUGAGUACCGAAGAGGGUAGUGGAAUUCCAGGUGUAGUGGUGAAAUACGUAGAUAUCUGGAGGAACACCGGUGGCGAAGGCGGCUACCUGGUCGAGUACUGACACUGAGACACGAAAGCAUGGGGAUCAAACAGGAUUAGAAACCCGAGUAGUCC
rnacentral:rRNA from 1 species